rnacentral:lncRNA from 1 species
CCGAUCAUAUCAAAACACAUGAAGGUAAGAGACCUAAUCAAAAUCAAAACCAAAAUCAAAACUAAUAAAGCCGAUUCACAAAUAAUUGAAAUCAAAUCAAAACACAAAAGAAACAACCCAAAUCAGAAAUUAAAUGCACAAAUAUCUGCUCCAUAUUAGAACACCCAAAUCAGAACACAAUAUCCACUACCGAACACAACCAGAUCGGAAAUUAAAGGUCGGACACAUUACACAUCCACUAUUGGCGCCGGACACUGAAAUCGGAACACAAUAUCCAAACCAGAUCUAUAUUCUUCCAACCAAAUCCAAUAAAAUAUAGAGAACUUAGAAAAGAAAUAAGCAAAACACUGAAAUCGAAAGAUAUACAGGUGACUGUGAAAAAUCCCAAUUAGAAAUCAAAGACCCAGAUGAGAGAAGCGAGUAUUUUUCUGGAGCAUGUUCUUUGGUGGCGGAAUGAGCGUUCAACUGGAGAGCGAGAGCGACGUUGGAGGCGAGAGUGUGUGCGUGUAGGUGAGGGAGUCGUUCGGAGAUAUCAAGGGGAGGGAGCCUCAUGCGUAAAUCUUGGAUUGAACGGGAGAUGGAAGAAACAAAGAAACACAUAUGAAGAAACAGAUUUGAUCCUCUGUUUUGAAGAAACUGAA